AUUGAACGCUGGCGGCGGGCCUAACACAUGCAAGUCGAGCGAGCGGCGGACGGGUGAGUAAUGUCUGGGACCCUGCCUUAUGGCUGGGGAUACCUACUGGAAACGGUAGCUAAUACCGCAUACCAUCAGAUGUGCCCAGCUGGGAUUAGCUAGUAGGUGGGGUAACGGCUCACCUAGGCGACGAUCCCUAGCUGGUCUGAGAGGAUGACCAGCCACACUGGAACUGAGACACGGUCCAGACUCCUACGGGAGGCAGCAGUGGGGAAUAUUGCACAAUGGGCGCAAGCCUGAUGCAGCCAUGCCGCGUGUAUGAAGAAGGCCUUCGGGUUGUAAAGUACUUGCAGCGGGGAGGCGUUACCCGCAGAAGAAGCACCGGCUAACUCCGUGCCAGCAGCCGCGGUAAUUC
rnacentral:rRNA from 1 species